rnacentral:rRNA from 1 species
GGUGACUGCGUACCUUUUGUAUAAUGGGUCAGCGACUUAUUUUCAGUGGCAAGCUUAACCGAAUAGGGGAGGCGUAGCGAAAGCGAGUCUUAAUAGGGCGUCUAGUCGCUGGGAAUAGACCCGAAACCGGGCGAUCUAUCCAUGGGCAGGUUGAAGGUUGGGUAACACUAACUGGAGGACCGAACCGACUACCGUUGAAAAGUUAGCGGAUGACCUGUGGAUCGGAGUGAAAGGCUAAUCAAGCUCGGAGAUAGCUGGUUCUCCUCGAAAGCUAUUUAGGUAGCGCCUCAUGUAUCACUGUAGGGGGUAGAGCACUGUUUCGGCUAGGGGGUCAUCCCGACUUACCAAACCGAUGCAAACUCCGAAUACCUACAAGUGCCGAGCAUGGGAGACACACGGCGGGUGCUAACGUCCGUCGUGAAAAGGGAAACAACCCAGACCGUCAGCUAAGGUCCCAAAGUUAUGGUUAAGUGGGAAACGAUGUGGGAAGGCUUAGACAGCUAGGAGGUUGGCUUAGAAGCAGCCACCCUUUAAAGAAAGCGUAAUAGCUCACUAGUCGAGUCGGCCUGCGCGGAAGAUUUAACGGGGCUCAAACCAUACACCGAAGCUACGGGUAUCACUUAGGUGAUGCGGUAGAGGAGCGUUCUGUAAGCCUGUGAAGGUGAGUUGAGAAGCUUGCUGGAGGUAUCAGAAGUGCGAAUGCUGACAUGAGUAACGACAAUGGGUGUGAAAAACACCCACGCCGAAAGACCAAGGUUUCCUGCGCAACGUUAAUCGACGCAGGGUUAGUCGGUCCCUAAGGCGAGGCUGAAAAGCGUAGUCGAUGGAAAACAGGUUAAUAUUCCUGUACUUCUGGUUAUUGCGAUGGAGGGACGGAGAAGGCUAGGCCAGCUUGGCGUUGGUUGUCCAAGUUUAAGGUGGUAGGCUGGAAUCUUAGGUAAAUCCGGGAUUCUAAGGCCGAGAGCUGAUGACGAGUUAUCUUUUAGAUAACGAAGUGGUUGAUGCCAUGCUUCCAAGAAAAGCUUCUAAGCUUCAGAUAACCAGGAACCGUACCCCAAACCGACA